rnacentral:rRNA from 1 species
CCUACGGGAGGCAGCAGUGGGGAAUAUUGCACAAUGGGGGAAACCCUGAUGCAGCGACGCCGCGUGAGUGAAGAAGUAUUUCGGUAUGUAAAGCUCUAUCAGCAGGGAAGAAGAAAGACGGUACCUGACUAAGAAGCCCCGGCUAACUACGUGCCAGCAGCCGCGGUAAUACGUAGGGGGCAAGCGUUAUCCGGAUUUACUGGGUGUAAAGGGAGCGUAGACGGCUGUGCAAGUCUGAAGUGAAAGCCCAGGGCUCAACCCUGGGACUGCUUUGGAAACUGUGGAGCUAGAGUGCUGGAGAGGUAAGUGGAAUUCCUAGUGUAGCGGUGAAAUGCGUAGAUAUUAGGAGGAACACCAGUGGCGAAGGCGACUUACUGGACAGUAACUGACGUUGAGGCUCGAAAGCGUGGGGAGCAAACAGGAUUAGAUACCCUGGUAGUC